rnacentral:pre_miRNA from 1 species
UUUGUACUCCUUCCGUCCCAAAAUUCUUGUCUUAAAUUUGUCUAAAUACGGAUGUAUCUAGUUACAUUUUAGUGUUAGAUACAUCCGUAUCUAAACAAAUGUAAGACAAGAAUUUUGGGACGGAGGGAAUACUAC